ACACUUACCUGGCAGGGGAGAUACCAUGAUCAUGAAGGUGGUUUUCCCAGGGCGAGGCUUAUCCAUUGCACUCCGGAUGUGCUGACCCCUGCAUUUCCCCAAAUGUGGGAAACUCAACUGUAUGAUUUGUGGUAGUGGGGGACUGCGUUCGCGCUCUCCCCUG
rnacentral:snRNA from 1 species